UGCAAACUCCGAAUACCAACAAGUGCAAUCACGGGAGACACACGGCGGGUGCUAACGUCCGUCGUGGAAAGGGAAACAACCCAGACCGCCAGCUAAGGUCCCAAAGUAUAUGUUAAGUGGGAAACGAUGUGGAAAGGCUCAGACAGCCAGGAGGUUGGCUUAGAAGCAGCCAUCCUUUAAAGAAAGCGUAAUAGCUCACUGGUCGAGUCGGUCUGCGCGGAAGAUUUAACGGGGCUAAACAUAUCACCGAAGCUGCGGAUGCGCAUUUAUGCGAUGGUAGAGGAGCGUUCUGUAAGCCGUCGAAGGGAAAGCUGUAAGGCAUCCUGGAGGUAUCAGAAGUGCGAAUGUUGACAUGAGUAACGAUAAGGGGGGUGAAAAACCUCCCCGCCGGAAGACCAAGGGUUCCUGUCCAACGUUAAUCGGGGCAGGGUGAGUCGACCCCUAAGACGAGGCCGACAGGCGUAGUCGAUGGGAAACGGGUUAAUAUUCCCGUACCCUUUAUUAUUGCGAUGGGAGGACGGAGAAGGCUAGGUGGGCCUGGCGAUGGUUGUCCAGGUUCAAGUGCGUAGGCGGGAGACUUAGGUAAAUCCGGGUUUCUGUUAACGCUGAGACACGAUGUCGAGCUACUACGGUAGUGAAGUCAUUGAUGCCCUACUUCCAGGAAAAGUCUCUAAGCUUCAGAUAAUAAAGGAUCGUACCCCAAACCGACACAGGUGGUCAGGUAGAGAAUACCAAGGCGCUUGAGAGAACUCGGGUGAAGGAACUAGGCAAAAUGGUACCGUAACUUCGGGAGAAGGUACGCCGAUGAUGGUGAUGUCCCUUGCGGAUUUAGCUGCUGUCGGCCGAAGAUACCAGAUGGCUGCAACUGUUUAUUAAAAACACAGCACUCUGCAAAAUCGUAAGAUGACGUAUAGGGUGUGACGCCUGCCCGGUGCCGGAAGGUUAAUUGAUGGGGUUAGACUUAGGUCGACGCUCUUGAUCGAAGCCCCGGUAAACGGCGGCCGUAACUAUAACGGUCCUAAGGUAGCGAAAUUCCUUGUCGGGUAAGUUCCGACCUGCACGAAUGGCGUAAUGAUGGCCAUGCUGUCUCCACCCGAGACUCAGUGAAGUUGAAAUCGCUGUGAAGAUGCAGUGUACCCGCGGCUAGACGGAAAGACCCCGUGAACCUUUACUACAGCUUAGCAGUGAACUUAGAGCCUACAUGUGUAGGAUAGGUGGGAGGCUUUGAAGUGGCGUCGCCAGAUGUCAUGGAGCCAACCUUGAAAUACCACCCUUGUAUGUUUUGAGUUCUAACCAUGGCCCCUGAACCGGGGUUUGGGACACUGUUUGGUGGGUAGUUUGACUGGGGCG
rnacentral:rRNA from 1 species